AAAUCCCGAAACAAGCACGCCCCAGGUUUUCAAACCCAAAUCCCUAAACAAGCACGCCCCAGGUUUUCAAAGCCACGUUGGCAUUUUCAGCGGCAAACUCCCCCACCCAACACCCACCAUUCUGCUUGGGUUGUCAGAAAAUUGGCCAAAAUCUCUUAUUCAUUCUACUAUUUUAAAAUUCCUAUGUUCACCGUGAUAUGAUCUAAAAAUGCAGAUUAUAUCCAUUUUCCUUGUUGUUUUCCUUCCAAUCCUUUUGCUUCUUUUUCUCACCUUGUCCUUCCGGGAGCCCCUGCAGCUGACGCUGAUGUCGGAGUCUCGGGUGUUCCUUCUGGUCUCGCUCCCGACUUGAGGAGGCAGAUUUCAACAUGGAGCAGCAGGACUGGAAAGAUGGCUCCUAUCUAUUCCAAAUAACUCCAAUAUCGCCUCAAGUGAAGAGGAAAGCCUCAUAUUUCAAGGCCACUGACUGGAACCCAUUCACAUGCCACAGGGAGACGGAUGCCGUUGUUUUUUUUACGGCAAAGGAAACAGUGAUGUAUUGGAGUCUCAUCACCCCGUCUCUCCAUCAUCACAAGCCAGUCUGGCUUGUGUAGCACGAUUAAAAUGUUAUGUCUCCCAGUGAGCUAGUAAAUAUCAACACUUUCUCUC